CAGACUCCUACUGGAGGCAGCAGUGGGAAUAUUGGACAAUGGGCGAAAGCCUGAUCCAGUCAUGCCGCGUGUGUGAAGAAGGUCUUCGGAUUGUAAAGCACUUUAAGUUGGGAGGAAGGGUACUUACCUAAUACGUGAGUAUUUUGACGUUACCGACAGAAUAAGCACCGGCAUAACUCUGUGCCAGCAGCCGCGGUAAUACAGAGGGUGCAAGCGUUAAUCGGAAUUACUGGGCGUAAAGCGCGCGUAGGUGGUUUGUUAAGUUGGAUGUGAAAGCCCCGGGCUCAACCUGGGAACUGCAUCCAAAACUGGCAAGCUAGAGUAUGGUAGAGGGUGGUGGAAUUUCCUGUGUAGCGGUGAAAUGCGUAGAUAUAGGAAGGAACACCAGGGCGAAGGCGACCACCUGGAC
rnacentral:rRNA from 1 species